AAGAGCGUGCAUCCUAGUUAGGCGUCCACACUUAUCGGUUUGUUUGAUGUUACAGCCAAGGGUCUGUAGCUCAGGUGGUUAGAGCACCGUCUUGAUAAGGCGGGGGUCGUAGGUUCAAGUCCUACCAGACCCACCAAGUUACAGGCGGCGGAGAGCGAUCUUGCCGUGAAUUGGGGGAUUAGCUCAGCUGGGAGAGCACCUGCUUUGCAAGCAGGGGGUCGUCGGUUCGAUCCCGUCAUCCUCCACCAACACCUUGUGGUUGCCAAACGCAAGCAUCGAGCGAUCGGUGUUGCGUUUGGCAUUGCCAAGACGAGUAGUAACUCGGCUGUUCUUUAACAAUAUGGAAUGUAGUAAAGGUGUCGCGGCGCGUUGAUGAGACGCGCGGUAAUAAACGCGACACUGGGUUGUGAUUGUAUCAACCAGUAUUACGAGAGCAAUCGAAAGAUUGUCUUGGAAUACGGCACAACGCGAGAACUCAGCCUAUAGCGAGACAUACUCGUUAUAGGGUC
rnacentral:misc_RNA from 1 species